GAGCAGCAAGAUCCCGGUGAAUGACCUAAAAUGGAGAACAUGCCUUAGAUGAAAUGUCCCAGGUAGAUAGAGAACCACCGAUAUCCAAAGAUUGCAACUGUUCAUAAGUAUACCGCCUUUGGAGCGUGUUUCUUCACAAUUGCUUUCUAUCCAUUAAAUUCUGGAACAUUUCAGAAGAAUGGGCAGUGAUUAAAGUUCGCGGUUCAGAUGUCUUACACAGGAGUUUUUUUCUUGGUUCUCUUAUUUUAUCAAAUGUUAGCAGUUAUCCAAGACUGAAUAGUAUUCAUAGACACACUGCUUAUUUGAAAACAGGAGUUUUUUUCUUUGUUAAGUA